rnacentral:rRNA from 1 species
UACAGAGGUCUCAAGCGUUGUUCGGAUUCAUUGGGCGUAAAGGGUGCGUAGGCGGCGCGGUAAGUCGGGUGUGAAAUUUCGAGGCUUAACUUCGAAACUGCAUUCGAUACUGCCGUGCUAGAGGACUGGAGAGGAGACUGGAAUUUACGGUGUAGCGGUGAAAUGCGUAGAUAUCGUAAGGAAGACCAGUGGCGAAGGCGGGUCUCUGGACAGUUCCUGACGCUGAGGCGCGAAAGCUAGGGGAGCGAACAGG